GACGAACGCUGGCGGCGUGCCUAAUACAUGCAAGUCGAACGAACUCUGGUAUUGAUUGGUGCUUGCAUCAUGAUUUACAUUUGAGUGAGUGGCGAACUGGUGAGUAACACGUGGGAAACCUGCCCAGAAGCGGGGGAUAACACCUGGAAACAGAUGCUAAUACCGCAUAACAACUUGGACCGCAUGGUCCGAGYUUGAAAGAUGGCUUCGGCUAUCACUUUUGGAUGGUCCCGCGGCGUAUUAGCUAGAUGGUGRGGUAACGGCUCACCAUGGCAAUGAUACGUAGCCGACCUGAGAGGGUAAUCGGCCACAUUGGGACUGAGACACGGCCCAAACUCCUACGGGAGGCAGCAGUAGGGAAUCUUCCACAAUGGACGAAAGUCUGAUGGAGCAACGCCGCGUGAGUGAAGAAGGGUUUCGGCUCGUAAAACUCUGUUGUUAAAGAAGAACAUAUCUGAGAGUAACUGUUCAGGUAUUGACGGUAUUUAACCAGAAAGCCACGGCUAACUACGUGCCAGCAGCCGCGGUAAUACGUAGGUGGCAAGCGUUGUCCGGAUUUAUUGGGCGUAAAGCGAGCGCAGGCGGUUUUUUAAGUCUGAUGUGAAAGCCUUCGGCUCAACCGAAGAAGUGCAUCGGAAACUGGGAAACUUGAGUGCAGAAGAGGACAGUGGAACUCCAUGUGUAGCGGUGAAAUGCGUAGAUAUAUGGAAGAACACCAGUGGCGAAGGCGGCUGUCUGGUCUGUAACUGACGCUGAGGCUCGAAAGUAUGGGUAGCAAACAGGAUUAGAUACCCUGGUAGUCCAUACCGUAAACGAUGAAUGCUAAGUGUUGGAGGGUUUCCGCCCUUCAGUGCUGCAGCUAACGCAUUAAGCAUUCCGCCUGGGGAGUACGGCCGCAAGGCUGAAACUCAAAGGAAUUGACGGGGGCCCGCACAAGCGGUGGAGCAUGUGGUUUAAUUCGAAGCUACGCGAAGAACCUUACCAGGUCUUGACAUACUAUGCAAAUCUAAGAGAUUAGACGUUCCCUUCGGGGACAUGGAUACAGGUGGUGCAUGGUUGUCGUCAGCUCGUGUCGUGAGAUGUUGGGUUAAGUCCCGCAACGAGCGCAACCCUUAUUAUCAGUUGCCAGCAUUAAGUUGGGCACUCUGGUGAGACUGCCGGUGACAAACCGGAGGAAGGUGGGGAUGACGUCAAAUCAUCAUGCCCCUUAUGACCUGGGCUACACACGUGCUACAAUGGAUGGUACAACGAGUUGCGAACUCGCGAGAGUAAGCUAAUCUCUUAAAGCCAUUCUCAGUUCGGAUUGUAGGCUGCAACUCGCCUACAUGAAGUCGGAAUCGCUAGUAAUCGCGG
rnacentral:rRNA from 2 species